UCGUCUCAGCCGGAGAGCAGUUUCAUAAGGAGAAAAAUCCACUGUUACAUCAAUUGAAAGGCCCUGCUCAGCACCUGGCAGUUUGUCUCAGCAGCCACACGGGGACAGCAUCAACUAAGAGAAAAAACAGCUUUUUUUUUUAAGAUUUGGCCGCCGGGAGGCGAGGGAUGAAAGCUGUCCAAGGUUGCGAUUCAAAAGGCCAAACCCAACAUUUCCCAAUGCAAGGCGGACAAUCCGGAUGGCCUGGGCCAAGGACCCCGGACCCUGGGAGCCAAUCAUUGAUCCAUCAUGAUUUGUGUCAGCCGAGCAGUUAUGGAGAUGGACAGCUUAUUAUCAGCUUUAAGGGAAGAAACACAAAGCAAGCAGGACUGCUAUGAAGAGAAUCGGGGAAUGUGGGGACCAAUCCCGGCAACCGAGACUAAUGAAUCUGGCCAAGCAGGCGGCGGAUGGAGGAGGCCUGACCCAGGAACACUGCUGGAAAUUAGCUUCGUCGACCCGAAGGCAGGAAGGACUGAACGUAGCCAGUAAUGAGGAAAUGUGCGAAGGAAAAAAGGACUGUGUCCAACCCGAUGGACACAUGGCCCUACCGCUUGGCCAUGGAAGGCACUUAACAAAUACCACAAUCAUUAUUAUUUACAGAAAUGGCGAAGGCCCAGGUUGCUAACGAACCCCAUGUGGGAUUCAUUAUAAAUCUUUGAAGGACCAAAAGAGAAGUACUGCUCCCUAACCUCAUCUCAACACAGAUACAGCCAGGAGCGAGAACAGGUACUGAAUCCCCAUUUUCCAGAGGAGGAAUCCGAGGCACAGAGAAGUGAAGUGACUUGCCCAA